UCGUCGUCGAUUCGAUAUUUCCGUCGCCGACCCUCAACCGAGGGUGUCGGACGUCGCGACCCGUUCGCCACGAUCGAUGCUGAGGGGCGCGUUUCAAGCUCGUAUGCGCGGCCGUUUCGGCGUGUCGCGCGACGAUGGCGCGUUCCCACUGUUUUCGACGCGGACGGUAGCUUUGCGCGCGGGUAAUCGAGGCGGUCCUCUCGUCCGGCGUCUCGUACGUCGGAUGGCGCCGCCUCGACGCCGGUCAGCGACGAAUCUUCGGGCCUCUUUUCGACCCGUCUUGAAACACGGACCAAGGAGUCUAGCGUGCGCGCGAGUCGCGGGGUAUCCGAGGAGUAGUAGCCGUUUCGGCGGCGAACGCUUCUCGUCACGAUACGAAACCCGUGUACGUACGUUGUGCGAAGGCGUAAUGAAAGUGAAAGGCGGCGCUUCGCGCGUCGCCGGGGGAAGACGGUCGACCGAGUACACGUUUCGCGAUCGCGCAUGUAUC
rnacentral:rRNA from 1 species